UCUGCCGUAGUAGGCUCGCUCAUAGGCGCUCGGCCAUACUAGGCUAUGUAUCUCGACCAUGUUGGGCUCGCUCAUAGGCGCUCGGCCACAGUAGGCUCGGUAUAUAACUUUCCAUCUGAUCAGAGGUUGCCCAAUAGGGGCCUGCCCAUCGAUUAUAGCUCGAUGGUAAUGAAAAUACUGUAAUACUGUAUAUAUAGGCUUGUUGCUCUCUUGACUGGAAGAAGAAAAUACUAAAUUGAAUAUAGAAUCUCGAUAAGGAAUAAUAUUGUAACUUAUGAGACUAGAAUAGUGUGAAUAAAUUCAUGAAUAUGAAUUUCUCUUUUUAUCUCAUUACUAACACAUGUAGCUACGAGAUCAUGCCAAAAUGAAGGAAGGCUUAGCCUUAACAUACCUUAUCACAAUCUUUCCAAUCACCAAGUUGAACUCACCUCUUCGCACCUUAAUCUACAAGAAUGAUAAUAAUACUAUCGUUAAGUUACGAAAGUUACAACUAUCGCACAACGAACGACAAACUUAGUUUGUAUUAAAACGGGCAGCAUCUCUCCUAUAAUCCUUACUUCCUCCAAAUUCAAGAUAACACCAACAAUACAAGAACAGAAUAAUGACAACAUAUAUACAUCAUUUUCCAGCCCUAUAUACACCAUCAAAUACUACAAAACAGCCCAACACACCCCAAUCUCUUCAAACACAAAACGACCACCGUAGUAGUGUCAAACGACCCGAAAAUGUUAUGACGAACGACCAGCCAACCACCCUACAUUUAUAUGGUGUUUCUACACCCCCUUCCUCCUCCAAAACUCCACAAAACAGUAGUAAAACAUGCAGCUUAACAGCAACACAAAACAGUCCACAAAACAGUCCGCUACAAGUGAAUAACUCGAACUCACGGCUUCCGAUCACCGUCCCGUGAGUUCUCACAAGUAUAGAACGACUUACCAUGAAUUUAUAGAAGAAAAACUGGAUGAAAGAGAGCAGUAAACUCACCUUAUUUGUUGGAUAACUCAGCUCCUAUCAUGGUUCUUCAAACUCUA
rnacentral:lncRNA from 1 species